rnacentral:rRNA from 1 species
AAUGAACGCUGGCGGCAGGCCUAACACAUGCAAGUCGAACGGAUCCUUCGGGAUUAGUGGCGGACGGGUGAGUAACGCGUGGGAACAUACCCAAAGGUACGGAAUAGCCUCGGGAAACUGGGAGUAAUACCGUAUGUGCUCGAAAGAGGAAAGAUUUAUCGCCUUUGGAUUGGCCCGCGUUGGAUUAGGUAGUUGGUGGGGUAAUGGCCUACCAAGCCGACGAUCCAUAGCUGGUUUGAGAGGAUGAUCAGCCACACUGGGACUGAGACACGGCCCAGACUCCUACGGGAGGCAGCAGUGGGGAAUCUUAGACAAUGGGGGAAACCCUGAUCUAGCCAUGCCGCGUGAUCGAUGAAGGCCUUAGGGUUGUAAAGAUCUUUCAGGUGGGAAGAUAAUGACUGUACCACCAGAAGAAGCCCCGGCUAACUCCGUGCCAGCAGCCGCCGCGG